rnacentral:misc_RNA from 1 species
CCUUUUCAAGUACACGAGCAUCCUCCUUAAGUCAAAUAUAAUUACCCAGUUCUCAGAAAAAAUAUUCCUUUCUUGGCACAAUAAGAAAAUUGGUUAUCAUGGAUCAAAUUGUUCCUUUCCAAAGAUUCAAAAUUUACAUUUUAAGCUUGUCAAUUACAGUGACCACAACCAAAUCAGGCCCCAGUCAGCAGAACCAUGCCUGUAGUAAAUAGCUUCCUUAAUAUCUGCAUUCCAUUGCCU